CAGUAGCCGCGGUAAUACAGAGGGUGCAAGCGUUAAUCGGAAUUAUUGGGCGUAAAGGGUGCGUAGGUGGUCAUUUAAGUCAGAUGUGAAAUCCCAGGGCUUAACCUUGGAAUUGCAUUUGAUACUGGGUGGCUAGAGUACAGAAGAGGGAAGUGGAAUUUCCGGUGUAGCGGUGAAAUGCGUAGAUAUCGGAAGGAACAUCAGUGGCGAAGGCGACUUCCUGGUCUGUAACUGACACUGAGGCACGAAAGCGUGGGGAGCAAACAGGAUUAGAUACCCCUGUAGUCCCUGUCUCUUAUAC
rnacentral:rRNA from 1 species